rnacentral:sRNA from 1 species
UGAUAUACGCUGAAGGAUCAAUAGUACUUAAAUCCUCUUCACAAAGCGAACUAGGGACGGUGGGAGCCUAGAGAAUGGUUUAAGGAAAAGGCAAUCUGGAGUAUAUACAGACGAAGGUGGAUACAUUUUGUAUCAACCAGGGUGGAACCGCGGGAAAAACUCUCGUCCCUGGG